UCGGUUUUUUGAAGUUACGGCAAAAACAUAAUCUUAUUUCUCCCAAAAAACAACCGAAUUGAAACUUGAUGUUUGUCUACAUGAUAAAACUUUUAUGUUUAUUGUGCUAAUAAUGCCAAAAACUCAUUUUCGCCAAAAUGGAAGUUACGACCUUUUGCCAUAGUGCGGCAGCAUACACCACAGGUUUUUAGGAGGCAUAUAUAAAAUGCGUGGCUGCAAUACCAGUGUCACAUUUCUCCAUGGCUCUGACUAGGUCCAUCUGUUGAUCAGUGAUUACACCUGUAUGCUUAUACAAGAGGAUAUCACCUGAGAUUAUUUGGUUGUAUCAGACAUUUCUCCUGUUGAAGCUAAUCAGUCAAUGAGUCUUCCCAGUAGGCCCACCCUGAUGCUCCAAUUAAAUAAACGAAUAACCGAUAUAGACUGAUUUAUUGCUAUGAGGUUCACAAAGUAGGUUAUUGAUAGAAAUUUGUUACCAUUUGAACCAUUGUUCCUUACAUGCUGCUCUAAGCUCAAAGACCUUGGACUAAAUACCCCCCUCUGUGACUGGGUUUUGAACUUUCUUACUGGCAGACCCCAGUGAGAGUGCGCCAGCUCACCUCCAUCAUUCUGAACACGAGGGCUGUGUCUUGAGCCCACUGCUCUACUCUCUACAGUACACCUAUGAAUGUCGACUCACGGCUCCACUUCCAUCGGUAAAUUUGCUGGUACAGGUGAAGAAGCUUAUUGCCUGGUGUCAGGCAAGCGGUCUCCAGCUGAAUGUCAGCAAGGCAGCUGCAGACUUACACCCCUCUCUUGAUGGAAGGAACACAGGUAGAGAGUAGUGGUUUCAAAUAUCUGGGAGGGAGUACAUUUCUGAGGACCUGACCCGGGCUACACAUCCAAGCUCAGGUUAAAAAGGCCAGACAACGAAUGUAUAGCCUACCACCUAAGACACCUCUGGAAAUUCAGCUUUCCCCGCCCCCAUAGCGUUAUCCUCAUCACAUCCAACUUUAGGUUGACUACUUCGGAGCAGUCUUCAUCGAGAGGAGAGGGUACCUUUCACCUGGGUUAAAUUGAACGAAAUUCUACUCAAAAGGUCCACAGGUUAUGGAGGACUUCCUGGUCUCCAACGACAUGAGUAAACAUUUGCAGGGUCCUGUGCAAUGUGUAGAAAACCCCAGGGGUAAUGGGGUGAGGGUUUACAUGGACCAGACAUUCUACAACUGCCCUCUGCAUCAGAUUCCGGUCCAAUGUGAGGACAACCCAGAGGGACGUGACAUCAUGGUUUACUAUGACAAGACCUUUUUCAUGAGCCCUCAG